GUGUCCAGAGCAUUGCUGCUCUCUGCACAGGGGCUCAGGGGUACUCCAAUAAUCCAUCCUCCCCCUUCCAAGGAGAGCAUCCAAGGAGAGAGGUGAUCCGAGGUAAGGCACCAUGGAAAGCCUUACCAGCAGUUUCCACAGGAGGAGGAGGAGAAGGAAGAAAGUGAAGGCAGCCAGCACAGCUUGUCUGCAAAUUUUCCUGUUUCCUUUGGGGACAAAGAUGUUCCACAGUCCUCUGUCCACCUUGGGAGGAGAAGUGUUAUGCUUUGGGGUGGUUAUUACCGAGAAAUCUGAUUCAGAGCUCGGCUAUGUUGGGUCUUUAAUACUGAAAUAGUCGAGUUAAUAAAUAUUAGCAGAAAGGACUGGGGCAGGAGGGAGGCUCUGACUCAGGCUGUUAAUGCUCACUCUUUCUAACAACUGUGCCUGUGCCAGCGGGGCCUGGAGGCUUGCCCAGAGCACUGACACCUCUGACUCCAGCAGCAGCAUCCUAAUUUGGGGAUGCUCCUCCCUGCUGGCUGCCUCCCACCUCCUCUGGCCCUCUGCAAAAGGAAAGGAGAAA